rnacentral:rRNA from 1 species
AGUCGUUGAUUUCACACUGCCGAGAAAAGCCUCUAGAUAGAAAAUAGGUGCCCGUACCGCAAACCGACACAGGUAGUCAAGAUGAGAAUUCUAAGGUGAGCGAGCGAACUCUCGUUAAGGAACUCGGCAAAAUGACCCCGUAACUUCGGGAGAAGGGGUGCUCUUUAGGGUUAACGCCCAGAAGAGCCGCAGUGAAUAGGCCCAAGCGACUGUUUAUCAAAAACACAGGUCUCUGCUAAACCGUAAGGUGAUGUAUAGGGGCUGACGCCUGCCCGGUGCUGGAAGGUUAAGAGGAGUGGUUAGCUUCUGCGAAGCUACGAAUCGAAGCCCCAGUAAACGGCGGCCGUAACUAUAACGGUCCUAAGGUAGCGAAAUUCCUUGUCGGGUAAGUUCCGACCCGCACGAAAGGCGUAACGAUUUGGGCACUGUCUCAACGAGAGACUCGGUGAAAUCAUAGUACCUGUGAAGAUGCAGGUUACCCGCGACAGGACGGAAAGACCCCGUGGAGCUUUACUGUAGCCUGAUAUUGAAAUUCGGCACAGCUUGUACAGGAUAGGUAGGAGCCUUUGAAACGUGAGCGCUAGCUUACGUGGAGGCGCUGGUGGGAUACUACCCUAGCUGUGUUGGCUUUCUAACCCGCACCACUUAUCGUGGUGGGAGACAGUGUCAGGCGGGCAGUUUGACUGGGGCGGUCGCCUCCUAAAAGGUAACGGAGGCGCUCAAAGGUUCCCUCAGAAUGGUUGGAAAUCAUUCAUAGAGUGUAAAGGCAUAAGGGAGCUUGACUGCGAGACCUACAAGUCGAGCAGGGUCGAAAGACGGACUUAGUGAUCCGGUGGUUCCGCAUGGAAGGGCCAUCGCUCAACGGAUAAAAGCUACCCCGGGGAUAACAGGCUUAUCUCCCCCAAGAGUUCACAUCGACGGGGAGGUUUGGCACCUCGAUGUCGGCUCAUCGCAUCCUGGGGCUGUAGUCGGUCCCAAGGGUUGGGCUGUUCGCCCAUUAAAGCGGUACGCGAGCUGGGUUCAGAACGUCGUGAGACAGUUCGGUCCCUAUCCGUCGUGGGCGUAGGAAAUUUGAGAGGAGCUGUCCUUAGUACGAGAGGACCGGGAUGGACAUACCUCUGGUGUACCAGUUGUCGUGCCAACGGCAUAGCUGGGUAGCUAUGUGUGGACGGGAUAAGUGCUGAAAGCAUCUAAGCAUGAAGCCCCCCUCAAGAUGAGAUUUCCCAACUUCGGUUAUAAGAUCCCUCAAAGAUGAUGAGGUUAAUAGGUUCGAGGUGGAAGCAUGGUGACAUGUGGAGCUGACGAAUACUAAUCGAUCGAAGACUUAAUCAAAA